rnacentral:misc_RNA from 1 species
AACGCACCUUGCGCUCCUUGGUAUUCCGAGGAGCAUGCCUGUUUGAGUGUCAUGAAAUUCUCAACCUUUCUUGCUUUUUGUGUGAAAGGAUUGGAUGUGGAAGAUUGCGGGCUUCGUUCAGAGGCCAGCUCUUCUGAAAUGCAUUAGCAGGACUCCAUCGUCUUACCAGCCUUGGUAUGAUAAACUAUCUAUGCCUUUGCUGGAAAACGGCUACUUUGUAGUGUGAGUUCAGCUCCCCAGUCGUCCCUCAAAGGGACAGCUUUUUGACAAUCUUUGACCUCAAAUCAGGUAGGACUACCCGCUGAACUUAA